rnacentral:rRNA from 1 species
AUAAGUUAUUUUCUUUAAAGUUAAAAAAUUUGGCGGUAUUUUAGACUUUUCAGAGGAACCUGUUCUAUAAUUGAUAGUCCACGAUUAAAUUUACUUUAGUUAGAAAUUUUUAUAUCGUUGUUAUUAAAUAUUUUUAAAGAAUUAAUAUUUAAAAUUUUAUAUAAAAAAAGAUUUCAGAUCAAGGUAAAGUUUAUAUUAAAGAAGAAAUGGGUUACAUUAAAUUUAUUUAUGGUUAAUUUUUUGUAAAAAAAAUUUUAAAUUGGAUUUGAAAGUAAUUUUAUUUAU